rnacentral:lncRNA from 1 species
CCUAGAUGUCAGAAAGAGUGCUGAAACCUCCAUGGGUCCUCAUAUAACUUCCCUGGGCAUAAAGGACCCCUUAAGAAGGGUAUGGUGGAUGGAAGCUUGGAUGGGAGGAAAGAGUCAUUGACAAGUGUACUCUAUCAACAAAACUGGCCGCUACAAGUGCAAAAAGCUGAAUGAAAAAUGGAAAGGUUACUGCUGAAAUAUUUACAGAUGGAAGGAUAUGAUGUCUAGAAUUUGUUUCAAACAAGACGAGGUCUUACUACCAUAGCCCAGGCUGGGCUCAAC